rnacentral:rRNA from 1 species
GGCUGCAUGGCUGUCGUCAGCUCGUGUCGUGAGAUGUUGGGUUAAGUCCCGCAACGAGCGCAACCCUUGCCUUUAGUUGCCAGCAGUUCGGCUGGGCACUCUAAAGGGACUGCCGGUGUUAAACCGGAGGAAGGUGGGGAUGACGUCAAGUCCUCAUGGCCUUUAUGACCAGGGCUACACACGUACUACAAUGGCCGAUACAAAGGGCAGCGACACUGCGAGGUGAAGCCAAUCCCGUAAAAUCGGUCUCAGUCCGGAUUGGAGUCUGCAACUCGACUCCAUGAAGUUGGAAUCGCUAGUAAUCGUGGAUCAGCAUGCCACGGUGAAUACGUUCCCGGGCCUU